rnacentral:misc_RNA from 1 species
GAAAUGCGAUAAGUAAUGUGAAUUGCAGAAUUCAGUGAAUCAUCGAAUCUUUGAACGCACCUUGCGCUCCUUGGUAUUCCUUGGAGCAUGCCUGUUCGAGCGUCAUUACAACCCUCAGGCCCCCGGGCCUGGCGUUGGGGAUCGGCGGAAGCCCCCUGCGGGCACAACGCCGUCCCCCAAAUACAGUGGCGGUCCCGCCGCAGCUUCCAUUGCGUAGUAGCUAACACCUCGCAACUGGAGAGCGGCGCGGCCACGCCGUAAAACACCCAACUUCUGAAUGUUGACCUCGAAUCAGGUAGGAAUACCCGCUGAACUUAAGC